CCUACGGGAGGCAGCAGUGAGGAAUAUUGGUCAAUGGACGAGAGUCUGAACCAGCCAAGUAGCGUGAAGGAUGACUGCCCUAUGGGUUGUAAACUUCUUUUAUAUGGGAAUAAAAUGUUCCACGUGUGGGAUUUUGUAUGUACCAUAUGAAUAAGGAUCGGCUAACUCCGUGCCAGCAGCCGCGGUAAUACGGAGGAUCCGAGCGUUAUCCGGAUUUAUUGGGUUUAAAGGGAGCGUAGGUGGAUUGUUAAGUCAGUUGUGAAAGUUUGCGGCUCAACCGUAAAAUUGCAGUUGAAACUGGCAGUCUUGAGUACAGUAGAGGUGGGCGGAAUUCGUGGUGUAGCGGUGAAAUGCUUAGAUAUCACGAAGAACUCCGAUUGCGAAGGCAGUUCACUGGACUGCAACUGACACUCAGGCUCGAAAGUGUGGGUAUCAAACAGGAUUAGAUACCCCAGUAGUC
rnacentral:rRNA from 1 species